rnacentral:rRNA from 1 species
UACGUAGGGGGCGAGCGUUGUCCGGAUUUAUUGGGCGUAAAGAGCUCGUAGGCGGUGUGUCGCGUCGGCCGUGAAAACCUGGGGCUUAACUCUGGGCGUGCGGUCGAUACGGGCAUCACUAGAGUUCGGCAGGGGAGACUGGAAUUCCUGGUGUAGCGGUGAAAUGCGCAGAUAUCAGGAGGAACACCGGUGGCGAAGGCGGGUCUCUGGGCCGAUACUGACGCUGAGGAGCGAAAGCAUGGGUAGCGAAUGGG